AUGGCGCCGAAGAGGGAGCUGGUCUUGGGCAGCGCCCGGGGCUCGGAGUCGGCGAAGCGCCUGCGCGUGGGGGUCCCUGGAGCUGCCUCCGCCGGCGGCAGCGAGAGCGAGCGGCCGGUGCCGGGAAAGCGGCUGCUGCGGCAGACAGUGUUCGUCGUGCUCUUUCUUGUGCGAAUGAGCGAAAAGAUCACGGUGACGGAAAGUAUGUCGCAGAUUGGUCGCAUGGUUCAGAAACUUCACAAGGUUCAGACUCUUAUCAUGAGCAAAUUGGAAAGUUUACAGCAGCAGAUGGAGGAUAUAAGCCAUGAAGUGAAGAAAUUGGCUUGUUUGCAUUCCGACCGACAUGCUGAUCAACACCCAAGAUCAGAACCAUAUCAGGAGGGUGCCACUUUGAGUGAACCGAACGCCAAGAUUCGCCUGCGUUUCCUGGAUGGCCUGAAGACUCCAGUUUACACAGAUAAGAACAUAACAUCUGAAAGCGAUGCGGCUAUCAGGAUUGGCAUCUUUAAUGGUGAUAACAUGAUCAAGGAAGGCCUGCUUUCAAAGCUGAAAAUUGAGAUCCUGGUUCUCCAUGGAGACUUCUGCAACGACUGCCGGGGAAACUGGACCGGAGAGGAGUUCAAUAGCCAGAUCGUGCAAGGCCGGGACGGACACAGGUUUGUGUUAGGGGGUGAUUGCAGUGUGUGGUUGAACAAUGGAGAGGCCUCCUUGGGCAGGAUUCGUUUCAAAGAAGGAUCAUCCAGGACUCGCAGUAGGAAGUUCGUCGUGGGAGCAAGAGUUUGUAUGAGCGAAAAGACUGGUGUUCGAGUCCAAGAAGCUGUCAUGAAGCCGGUCACGGUGCUGGAUCGUAGGAACGAAGCAAAUGAGAAGAGGUACCCUCCAAAACCAAAUGAUGAAGUGUAUCGUCUGGAAGAAAUAGCCAACGAUGGUACUUACCACAGGAGGCUUAAAAAUGCUAAAAUCUACAGUGGAAGACUUCUUGAAUGCUCUGAAUAA
rnacentral:rRNA from 1 species